GAUGAACGCUGGCGGCGUGCCUAACACAUGCAAGUCGAACGAAGCACUUAAAUGGAAUUCUUCGGAAGGAAGCUUAAGUGACUGAGUGGCGGACGGGUGAGUAACACGUAGGUAACCUGCCCCGGAGCGGGGGAUAACAUUUGGAAACAGAUGCUAAUACCGCAUAACAACAAAAGCCGCAUGGUUUUUGUUUGAAAGAUGGCUUUGGCUAUCACUCUGGGAUGGACCUGCGGUGCAUUAGCUAGUUGGUAAGGUAACGGCUUACCAAGGCGAUGAUGCAUAGCCGAGUUGAGAGACUGAUCGGCCACAAUGGAACUGAGACACGGUCCAU
rnacentral:rRNA from 1 species